rnacentral:rRNA from 1 species
AGAAUGAACGCUGGCGGCAUGCCUAACACAUGCAAGUCGAACGAAUUACCUUCGGGUAGUUAGUGGCGCACGGGUGCGUAACGCGUGGGAAUCUGCCCCUUGGUUCGGAAUAACAGUUGGAAACGACUGCUAAUACCGGAUGACGACGUAAGUCCAAAGAUUUAUCGCCGAGGGAUGAGCCCGCGUAGGAUUAGGUAGUUGGUGUGGUAAAGGCGCACCAAGCCGACGAUCCUUAGCUGGUCUGAGAGGAUGAUCAGCCACACUGGGACUGAGACACGGCCCAGACUCCGUACGGGAGGCAGCAGGUAGGGGAAUAGUUGGAACAAGUGGGACGAAAGCCUAGACUCCGAGACAAUGCCGCGUGAGUGAGUGGAAGGUCCGUUAGGUUAGUAAAGGUCCUUCCGUUUUUACCCGGGAUUA